GGAAGGUCUCGAGGGCGGCCUCGCGGAGCAGGGCCUCGCUUCGCAAGCUUUUCUCUCAUCCCGCCGGGGUUUCGUCCAAGAAAGACGCUUCCGGCGAGUUCUUGGAGGAACACGAGCCGCGGAGGCCGAGCUUCUUCGAGUUCCUCGCGUUCUUUGCUUCGCAAACUCCCGUGGCGGUUCCGGCGAGUUCUUGGAAGCACAAGCCGCGGAUCCGACUCUCGUCUCCUCCCGCUACGGUUUCAUCCAAGAACGGCUCUCCGGCGAGUUCUUGAACCGGGAACCGCAGAGCCCGAGCUUCUUCUAAUUCUUCGCGUCCGAGAGGGCUCGAUCUCCUCCAGCUAGGGCCCAAGGACGGGCUUCAGGGGUUAUCCUUGAAGAGAACGAGCCAUGGAGCCCGAGCUUCUUCGAAUUCGUCACGUCUUCUCGAAUUCCUUGGCUUCGGACGCCCUUCUCUCAUUCCGAACAUGGUUUCGUCCAACAACGGGCGAUUCGGGCGAGUUCUUGGAAGAGAGCGAGCCACCGGCCUCGAGCUUCUUGGAGAUCCUCUCGUCUGAGAGGGCGAAGGUCUCCACGCUGGGGUCAGCCUUGGCCCUCUGACAUUCCGAUCGAAUGCCUUCCGCGGCCCAUGGGUGGAUCGAGUCCUUCGCCAGCAUGGUCUAGUUGCAGUGGAGUUCCAUUUAAUGAUGGCAAGCUAGCUUGACGUAUCCAUACAAUGUCUCAGCCAAGAAGAAGGGUUAUUGAGAAAGCAAAGUUCUCGUUGUCUAAACAGUCGGAAGCACUGGAAACAUGGAUGCUCGGUCAUUUGCAGAAGCAGCUCAGGUCGACGGUAGCAAGUAAGUAUGACGUUUUCUUUUGUGCGGUUGAAAGCUUCAUGAUCCAUACAAUUACGAGUUUCUUUUUGGCACAAUGUGCCGAAAGAUACUCUCACCCAUGCUCGUCCGAGUCGACGUUGACUCGGUUAACCUCUUCACGUCGGUUGUUUCCUCGAGGUGGUCUCACUCAAGGUAGUUGUGUCUUCAAGUUAGCAUCAUUAAAUCGGUCGCCUUUAAGACAUUUUCAAAACAAUCAUGUUUUCAAAUUGAUCGUACCUUGAAGAACAAUGUCUUUAAGAAGGCCGCAUCAUCAAAUUAUAUCUUUAAGAAGGUCGCAUCGUUGGUUACAUUGUCAAAUCUUCUUUGUUGUUAAAUUGAUUGCGUCCUUAAGACGGUCGAAUUGUUAAUGCGAUUGUACCCCUCAAAACUAUCAUUUUCUCAAAUCAU